UGUUUUGACGCAGUAAGAAUUUUAUCUAAAUCCUGGCUUAAAUCAAAAAUUGGAUCUUUAGUCAAAACCUGACAUUGGUAAAACUAUGUCUGAACUAACAAAAGUCCAGAAAAAAUUACUCACAAUUGGUUCGUCCUUAGGAAUUUUAGAAGGAACAGUAUGGUUUCUCAUGUCUCUGGUAUGUAUAGUUGAGUAUUUAAUAAGUGAUCCCUUGAGUGGAACAAUACCGACGAGUUAUGCAGAUUAUUUUAAUAAUUUCUUCUACAGUCGCUUCCUUUACCGAAAAACAGUGAUUGAAAAUGUGAUUAUAAACCCCGACACUUUCCACUCAUUUAUGUGGAUUUAUUUCAUCCUGAAUUCAAUUUGGAUUGGACUCUCAAUUUAUGAGUUACGACUAAUUAACCUAAACGAUUCUAGAUUUUUAAAUGUCUUAAAGUAUUGGGAAGUGAACACAAUUCUAAUCUCGUUCAUUGAUUUUUUACUUGUGAUACUUCUGGGAGUUGAUUAUGAGAAAACAUGUUUCCUUGAACCAAAAAACCCACUUUUGGAAGCACUUUGCACAAAUACGACAAUCACAGUCCUGGUUGUGGCAGCAAAAGGAUUCGUUUUAUGGAUUAUUAAUGUUAUUUUUAUUUACAUUUUUUACGGAAUCAUCAGAAAAGCCAAAAUUGAAAUGCACCGAAAUCGUGACUUUUUGAAAGACCCACAAAUCCCUCGACCAACUUUGACGCGAUCUCCAAACAAGACGAACCAAAAUGUUGACAAAAACUGGAAUACAAAUACAAAUUUCGUUUAUAGUAAAAAAAACAAUCAACAGCGUUUUUCGUACGUCUAUUAAAUAUUUUUCACUUGACUCACUUUCUGCAUUUACACCUGUUAUCUCUUAUCAGUUUUAUCAUUUAUCAGUAGCAAUUAUUUGAUUUUGACACGAUAUUAUUACGUUGUGAGUAGUUAUUUAAUCGUUAUCACUUCAUUUUAAACAAGUUUAUUAUAAUAAAUAUUUACCAUUUUUUUUGACUUUCUUCAAUGUUUCCUGUAUUUCAACAGAUCAAAUAAUAUAAAUUAAUAAUUUUUUCUACUUUGAUUUCACUCCUUCGUCGUGCUCCAAAACCAUUCGUGCCACAAAAAAACUCGUAUCAUAAAAUACUAUUUUAAAAUCACAAUCAAUCACAACAAUUAACACGUUAUCAGCUCUAAAACUUAGAAAUCAAUCAGUUUUAAUCUCUAAGUGAUUGCAAGAUGGCUCGUAUAACCCAGGAACAAAUCACUUUGGGGAAAACGGCCUCAUUUUUGGGCAUUGUCCAAGGUUUAACAUGGUUUAUUAUGUCAUUGUUGUGUAUAAUAGAGUACAGUAUAAACACACUUCCUGCCCCACCUGAGACUUACAUUGAGAAAUUUAACUGGCGGGUUUAUUAUUUCUUCUUAUACAAGGAUGCCAAACUUCCACACAGUGUGAUCAUAAAACCGACCGCUUUUCUGGUUUUUAUGUGUUUUUAUAUCAUUUUGAGCACAGUUUGGGUGAUUGCAUCGUGUUGCCAACUCAGCGUGUUGAAAAAUCGUGGAUUAAAUGUGCCAAUUUUAUUCAAAGACUGGGCAAUUAUCACAUUUUUAAUUUCAUUUGUCGAUUUAAUUUUUGUUAUUUUACUUGGCUGUGAUUAUGAACAAAAUUGCCUCUAUUAUUUUGGCCAAGAAAUUUGUAUUAACACAUUUAUCCCAGUUUUGGUGAUAGCAGCCCGUGGAUUUGUUUUGUGGUUUGUUAACGUUUUUGUGGCCUGGAGGACGUUCAAAAACGCCAAAAUUUUAAGAGAGGGUGGUCCUUAUGCAAAUACGUUCGGAGGAAUUAUACCUAUUUAUAACAAGUCAACAGACAGACGGAUUCCUCGAGUUACAGUGCCUGCAUCUCCCAGUUUGUAUAAUCAACAAUUUGGAGUUGUGAGUAAAGAAAGGAAUUUUUGGAACGUAAAUUUGAGGACUGCAAUGGAUAAUAGAACACCUCCGGUCACACCUUCAACGCCUUAUUAUAACAAACAGCCGUUUUUUGCUAGAUAAAUUUAAAUAAUCUGGACUUUGGUCUCUUGUUAGAUAUUAGAUAAGUUCGUAUUUUUCAAGGAAUCAAACAAUGAAUUUUUUAAAUUUAA